UACGUAGGUGGCAAGCGUUGUCCGGAUUUACUGGGCGUAAAGGGCGUGCAGGCGGUCUGUUAAGUGCAGGGUGAAAGCUCCCGGCUCAACUGGGAGAGGUCCUUGCAUACUGGCGGACUUGAGGGGGGUAGAGGAAAGUGGAAUUCCCGGUGUAGUGGUGAAAUGCGUAGAUAUCGGGAGGAACACCAGUGGCGAAGGCGACUACCUGGCCUGUUCUUGACGCUGAGGCGCGAAAGCUAGGGGAGCAAACGGG
rnacentral:rRNA from 1 species